rnacentral:rRNA from 1 species
CACGUAGGGCGCAAGCGUUGUCCGGAAUUAUUGGGCGUAAAGAGCUCGUAGGCGGUCUGUUGCGUCCGCUGUGAAAACUCGGGGCUUAACCCCGAGCCUGCAGUGGAUACGGGCAGACUAGAGGUAGGUAGGGGAGAAUGGAAUUCCAGGUGUAGCGGUGAAAUGCGUAGAUAUCUGGAGGAACACCGGUGGCGAAGGCGGCGUUCUGGACUGCAACUGACACUGAGGAACGAAAGCCAGGGGAGCAAACGGG